ACGUAAUAGAUACCCGGGUAGUCCACGCCCUAAACGAUGUCUACUAGUUGUUGGUGGAGUAAAAUCCAUGAGUAAACGCAGCUAAACGCGUGAAGUAGACCGCCUGGGGAGUACGGUCGCAAGAUUAAAACUCAAAGGAAUUGACGGGGGCCCGGCACAAGCGGUGGAUUAUGUGGAUUAAUUCGAUGCAACGCGAAAAACCUUAACCUGGCCUUGACAUGCCACUAACGAAGCAGAGAUGCAUUAGGUGCCCGUAACGGGAAAGUGGCACAGGUGCUGCAUGGCUGUCGUCAGCUCGUGUCGUGAGAUGUUGGGUUAAGUCCCGCAACGAGCGCAACCCUUGCCAUUAAUUGCCAUCAUUA
rnacentral:rRNA from 1 species